rnacentral:rRNA from 1 species
UACGAAGGGGGCUAGCGUUGUUCGGAAUCACUGGGCGUAAAGCGCACGUAGGCGGAUCUUUAAGUCAGAGGUGAAAUCCCAAGGCUCAACCUUGGAACUGCCUUUGAUACUGGGGAUCUUGAGUCCGGGAGAGGUGAGUGGAACUGCGAGUGUAGAGGUGAAAUUCGUAGAUAUUCGCAAGAACACCAGUGGCGAAGGCGGCUCACUGGCCCGGUACUGACGCUGAGGCGCGAAAGCGUGGGGAGCAAACAGG